rnacentral:rRNA from 1 species
CUCCUGGAAACGGGUGGUAAUGCCGGAUGUUCCAGUUGAUCGCAUGGUCUUCUGGGAAAGCUUUCGCGGUAUGGGAUGGGGUCGCGUCCUAUCAGCUUGACGGCGGGGUAACGGCCCACCGUGGCUUCGACGGGUAGCCGGCCUGAGAGGGCGACCGGCCACAUUGGGACUGAGAUACGGCCCAGACUCCUACGGGAGGCAGCAGUGGGGAAUAUUGCACAAUGGGCGCAAGCCUGAUGCAGCGACGCCGCGUGAGGGAUGGAGGCCUUCGGGUUGUAAACCUCUUUUAUCGGGGAGCAAGCGUGAGUGAGUUUACCCGUUGAAUAAGCACCGGCUAACUACGUGCCAGCAGCCGCGGUAAUACGUAGGGUGCAAGCGUUAUCCGGAAUUAUUGGGCGUAAAGGGCUCGUAGGCGGUUCGUCGCGUCCGGUGUGAAAGUCCAUCGCUUAACGGUGGAUCCGCGCCCGGUACGGGCGGGCUUGAGUGUGGUAGGGGAAACUGGAAUUCCCGGUGUAACGGUGGAAUGUGUAUGAUCGUUCAUCACAACAA